AGUUAAGUGUGGCCGCCACCGCUUAGUUUGCUGAAGGAGUGGAGAAGGAGAAGAAGAGGCGGUGGCAGCGGCGGCUCUCGAGCAGCUCCUUGAGCGCGCUUCAAUGACCCCCGCCCGGCGCGGCGACCCGCUGACACCUCCGCCAUGAGCUGCUUGGAUGUGAUGUACCAGGUGCUCGCUGCGCAGCCCUACUUCAGCCCCUACACGCCCCCCCACCACCAACACCACCAGAAGCUGACCUUGGACUCCAAAAUGGACGGGCGUCCUCCCGCUGCCCCCACCAUCAAGGAGGAGGACAAGGAGCUGCCCCCGGGGGCCGAGUACCUGAGCUCCCGCUGCGUCCUCUUCACCUAUUUCCACGGCGACAUCAGCGCCGUCGUCGACCAACACUUUAGCCGUGCGCUCAGCCACGCCUCCUCCUUCUACCCCCCCGGGGGCCACAAGACCCUCAAAGACGCCUCGUUCCCGAUGAGCCAGCGGAAUUUCCCGCCGUCUUUCUGGAAUAGUUCCUAUCAGUCGUCGAGCGCUCUGUCGGCCCCCCACUCGGACCUGGCCUUCUCCGGGGGCGACCCUUACGCGCUCCACGGCCACCUGCACCAGCCCGGCCCGCCUGACGCCUGGCACCCGUCCCACCCGCAUCACCCCUACUCGUUCGGCGGCGGCCUCGGCACGCAGGGCUCGCCGUACCCGCGGCCCGCCGUGCACGAGGUGUACGGCGCCGCCUUCGAUCCGCGCUACGGCUCGCUGCUGGUGCCCUCCGUCAGGUCGCACCACCGCCUGGCGGCCAGCGGAGGCUCGGCGGCGCACGCCGGCGCCUCGCCGUGCGACCUGGCCGGCGGGAAAGGCGAGUCGGGGGGCUGGAGCGGGACUUUCUCCGCCGUUGGAGAGAUUGGACUCAACAUGGACGCAGGUCUGCAGACGCAGGACAAGAGCAAGGACUUGUACUGGUUCUAGACGCUUUGGCAAGAAUAGCGCACCUGACUGGGCCGACGGCGCCAAAGCAAAGACUUGUUCCGCUUCCAAUCGCUUUCCGCCUUCAUUUCGCUUCUUCACUCUGACGGACAAAUUGAAGCUGUACUUUGUGAUGUCACCGUGACGGCGCUUUCAGCACAAAGCGGGCGGGCGGGCUCUCAGGUGGGGAAGGUCGCGACCCUUUAGUCACUCACAAGCUUUCCGCCGGUCCUGGAACGCAAAGGGGUCGGGUGGGCUUUGGGCAGGGUGGCGCUCGCUCGCUUGGCUAUUUGAGGCCACUGGCUGACCAAUCCCCCCCCCCCAAGCGCAGCUGUCAACGACAACUGCGCGUCAACUUACCGCACACAUGCACGACACACCAACUUGGGAAAGGAGAAGCAUUUCUUGGCGUUAGUUGAAAAAGAAAAAAAAAAAGCCGGGAAGAGAACUUUAUUGUGACGCAACCAGAGGUAACGGCGUCGGUAACGCCGGCAAUUCAUUUCCAGAAAGGAAGGAAGUCCAAAAUGAAGGUUGAAGGCGAGCGUCGCGAUCGGGUUUCUCGCAGCGCCAACGAGGGUUUUCAGGCCCGACCGAGCGGAACCCGACUCGCCUCGCACAAUGGACGGCCGCCGUUCCCGCGCAUUCCGCACAUUUCCAUUUGCCCAAUUUCACUCAUGUCAGCUUGACCCGCAGGAAGUUGUUGAGCGUCAACAAACAAAAGCUUUGGAUGGACCUGUAACCCGAGAGCAAGCCCACCUUCAAGCCUCACAGCGACCCCCCCCCCUCCACCUCCAAGACCCUUGGCCCAUUUCCUGCCCACAAGUGUCAACAGCCGCCCGGGACAGCUGGACGACUCGACUCCGGACUCCUACGAGUAGCACCGCUACGUGUGUGUACUUGCUGAAAACACACACACACGCCUUGUGAUGAUGCCACAAGUGAUCUUUUCAAUUAUUAGCGGCCGUUAGAAUAAAUGGUUGCCCCUGGCAACAACUUUAGUGGAGCGCCUGCCGAGCGUCACUCCAAAUAUAUUUUUAUUUCGAUGAACAUUUCUGGAUAAUGUCAAUUGGUGGAGAAUGUCAUGAGAGGAAUCGCCAUGGAGACGAGUCAUUGGACCUGGGCCACCGGGGACACGGUGGGUCUGUGGAGACUCGGGUCGGGGCUGGGCCAGUCCCGGUCGGCGCUUUGUUUUCUGAAUUGACCAAAUCAACAAUCCGCUUGCAAGUCCCAACCACGAAGUAGACUUUUUGGGUUUUGCCCCCCGGAGACGAGCGUGAUCGCUCGUUCAAACUCUUGAUGAGCGUCGCCGGCGUGCUCUUCGCACCGUCGGUGUCACAUUUCCCAAGACGCGGCCGUCACUUUGGUUUCAUCGUAGCAACAGUAACAAAGGAUG